rnacentral:lncRNA from 1 species
CCAGUAUUCUUUUCCUUCAAAUUCCCUUCCAAAUCCCGUCAAACAAGCGCGAAAAGGAAAAUCACAUACUAUGAGAGUCACUUCUCAAGAACCCUACUAACCAAAAAGCCAUCCACCAUAAACAACUGAGCUUUUAUACAAUAUAAACUGAAUUUGAUGAUGAUUUUGUCCCAAGAACCAGAAAAAUCAAAAGAAAAGCGUGUUUAGAGAAUCUCAGUUUGCGGCUGUUGGAUGAGAAACAAGGGGUGGAGAUUGCAGGAAAAUACGACCGUUGGAGGCUUGUAGGUGAAAAUAUGACCGUUAAGGAGUUUGGUGUAGUUGUACGGACAUGGA